rnacentral:rRNA from 1 species
UACGGAGGGUGCGAGCGUUGUCCGGAAUCAUUGGGCGUAAAGCGCUUGUAGGCGGCUUGUUAAGUUCCGUGUGAAAUCCCCAGGCUUAACUUGGGAAGUGCGCGGAAAACUGGCGAGCUUGAAUGCCGGAGAGGGUCGCGGAAUUCCCGGUGUAGAGGUGAAAUUCGUAGAUAUCGGGAGGAACACCAGUGGCGAAGGCGGCGACCUGGACGGACAUUGACGCUGAGACGCGAAAGCGUGGGGAGCAAACAGG